GAGUUUGAUCAUGGCUCAGAACGUACGCUGGCGGCACGCCUAACACAUGCAAGUCGAACGAAGUAGCAAUACUUAGUGGCAGACGGGUGAGUAACAUGUAGGUAUCUACCCUUUGGCCUGGAAUAACACGAGGAAACUUGUGCUAAUACCGGAUAAGUCUUUACGGAGAAAGCUUUAUGCACCAUUGGAUGAGCCUGCACUUGAUUAGUUUGUUGGUGGGGUAAUGGCCUACCAAGACUGUGAUCAAUAGCUGAUUUGAGAGGAUGAUCAGCCACAUUGGGACUGAGACACGGCCCAAACUCCUACGGGAGGCAGCAGUGGGGAACCUUGCACAAUGGAGGAAACUCUGAUGCAGCGAUGCCGCGUGAGUGAAGAAGGCCUAUGGGUUGUAAAGCUCUUUCGUCGGGGAAGAAAAUGACUGUACCCGAAUAAGAAGGUCCGGCUAACUUCGUGCCAGCAGCCGCGGUAAUACGAAGGGACCUAGCGUAGUUCGGAAUUACUGGGCUUAAAGAGUUCGUAGGUGGUUGAAAAAGUUGGUGGUGAAAUCCCAGAGCUUAACUCUGGAACUGCCAUCAAAACUUUUCAGCUAGAGUAUGAUAGAGGAAGGCAGAAUUUCUAGUGUAGAGGUGAAAUUCGUAGAUAUUAGAAAGAAUACCAAUUGCGAAGGCAGCUUUCUGGAUCAUUACUGACACUGAGGAACGAAAGCAUGGGUAGCGAAGAGGAUUAGAUACCCUCGUAGUCCAUGCCGUAAACGAUGUGUGUUAGACGUUGGAAAUUUAUUUUCAGUGUCGCAGCGAAAGCGAUAAACACACCGCCUGGGGAGUACGACCGCAAGGUUAAAACUCAAAUGAAUUGACGGGGACCCGCACAAGUAGUGGAGCAUGUGGUUUAAUUCGGAGAUACGCGCAGAACCUUACCAACACUUGACAUGUUCGUCGCAACUCUAAGAGAUUAGAGUUUUCGGUUCGGCCGGACGAAACACAGGUGCUGCAUGGCCGUCGUCAGCUCGUGUCGUGAGAUGUUGGGUUAAGUCCCGCAACGAGCGCAACCCUCACUUUUAGUUGCCAUCAUUAAGUUGGGCACUCUGAAAGAACUGCCAGUGAUAAGCUGGAGGAAGGCGGGGAUGACGUCAAGUCCUCAUGGCCCUUACGUGUUGGGCUACACACGUGCUACAAUGGUAUCUACAACAGGAAGCAAGACUGCGAGGUCAAGCAAAUCCUUAAAAGAUACCUCAGUUCGGAUUGCACUCUGCAACUCGAGUGCAUGAAGCUGGAAUUACUAGUAAUCGUGGAUCAGCGUGCCACGGUGAAUGCGUUCCCGGGUCUUGUACACACCGCCCGUCACACCAUGGGAGUUGGUUCUACCUUAAGGCAAGGUUUCAAACCCUUGACCACGGUAUAGUCAGCGACUGGGGUGAAGUCGUAACAAGGUAACC
rnacentral:rRNA from 1 species